rnacentral:rRNA from 1 species
GACGAACGCUGGCGGCGUGCUUAACACAUGCAAGUCGAACGGAAAGGCCCUGCUUUUGUGGGGUGCUCGAGUGGCGAACGGGUGAGUAACACGUGAGUAACCUGCCCUUGACUUUGGGAUAACUUCAGGAAACUGGGGCUAAUACCGGAUAGGAGCUCCUGCUGCAUGGUGGGGGUUGGAAAGUUUCGGCGGUUGGGGAUGGACUCGCGGCUUAUCAGCUUGUUGGUGGGGUAGUGGCUUACCAAGGCUUUGACGGGUAGCCGGCCUGAGAGGGUGACCGGCCACAUUGGGGCUGAGAUACGGCCCAGACUCCUACGGGAGGCAGCAGGGGGGAAUAUUGCACAAUGGGCGGAAGCCUGAUGCAGCAACGCCGCGGGCGGGAUGACGGCCUUCGGGUUGUAAACCGCUUUCGCCUGUGACGAAGCGUGAGUGACGGUAAUGGGUAAAGAAGCACCGGCUAACUACG